AUGGAAAAUGUACAUGCAGCGCCAAGGGUUCUGUCGUUCCGGUUAUUGAAUGAAAUUACAAAAGGUUUCUCUACGGACAUGAAAAUUGGCGCAGGUUCAUACGGAAAUGUUUAUAAGGGAGAGCAUACAACUGGGGAAAUUAUUGCUGUGAAGGUGCUUCAUUACAUUCCAGGAAUUGAUGAUGAGCAAUUUGAGAAGGAGUAUCACAACCUUGCAACUCUACGGCACAAAAAUAUUGUGCGGUUACUUGGCUAUUGCCAUGAAACUAGGCGAGAAUUUCUGCCUUACAAUGGAAAACUGGUUUUUGCUGAGAUGACACAGAGAGCCCUUUGCUUUGAGUAUAUGCAAAAUGGAAGCCUUGAUGGUUGUCUUACUGAUGAAUCUACUGGACAUGAUUGGUGCACACGCUACGCAAUAACUAAGGGGAUUUGUCAGGGUCUGAAGUACCUUCAUGAGGAAUUGGAUCCUCCUAUGUAUCAUUUGGAUUUAAAACCAGCGAAUGUAUUGCUAGAUGAAAAUAUGGUGCCGAAAUUAGCCGAUUUUGGCUUGUCAAGGCUCUUCAGAGGAGAACAAACACAAAUGACCAAAAGUGCUGUAGGAACACUGUGCAUGGGAACUGGAAGAACAAGCUACAGACAAGAUCAGUUUACACGCUGGAGCGUCAUUCCAAACAAGUGA
rnacentral:rRNA from 1 species